UGUGGAUAUCUGUAUUUCUUUGAGGGACUAAUCUGGAGACAGGUAGACCAAUUCUGCAGACCCAGCUGCAAAGUUCCAGAGAUUGCUUCAAGCUGGCUAAUUAACAACCCAGCCAUUGUUGACAUGCUGUCAGCCUGAGGUCCAGGUGGACUGCAACUCAAGAUAAGCAGCUGAAGAAGACACACAGCCAUUAUACUCAUCCCCAUUCUUACACGCCUUCCUUAUCAAGUUUUCCUUUUUAAACCCCUGCCUUUCCUCCCACGCCCCUAAAAAGUCAAAGUAGUUACUUUGGAUGGCAAUCCAACUGCUUCCCCUUUGCUAGGUUUGGUUAAUAAGUUACUUUCUCCCAGACCUCACUCUUGUUAAUUGGACUCUGCAAGCAAUGAGCAUCCGGAACUGAUUUGUUCAGUUGGUGACAUGCCCUGUGUGCUCCGGGGGCUGAGCCGGAGGGUCUGGUUUCCAUCAGACAAACCAUGGGGCUGCCUGCUGCCUGUGAAAUACAGCUGCUUGUGGCUAGCUGACCCCUUAGCUGGAACGGUGGGGAGUUUCCUUGAGGCUGUCUUAGGGGGAUCCUCUCUUUCUUUUCCUGUUGCAGUGUCUGUUGCCUUCAGUGCUUCGUUGGUUCAAACAAAGUGAUCUUUAGAGAAGUGGACAAACUUUGAAACUAGAAUUUUGGAACUUUGAACUUCAGAACUGAGUGACUCAGUUGGAGUGCACCCGAACACCCUCUGCCCCCUUUGAACUGUUGCUGGGGCUCUGCUCUAUUUAGACUUGGCCGCUAGUGAAACCAUUUGAGCAUUUUAUGCGUUUGUAUUUGUGGCACCUGUGGGGCUUUUCUCGGUUUGGACUUAGUCGCCCGUGGGUAAGGUGGGGAGGGAAGGCGUUUGAAUCUGAGGUGAGGGAUUUGACACUCUACCCAGCCUCUUAAACGGGAGUUUCUAUGGAGGUUAAUAAUUAUCAAAUAUAUGGCAAUGCUGGACUUUAGCUGAUCAUCGUGCUUCUGGAAAACAACAAAAAUUGAGAUAUCUGUUCACCACUUUGUGUGUCCAAGGACCACCUACUUUUUACAUGUGACAAGAACUACCCACCUCCACUCUUCAGGAUAGAACAUGCUGAAGAAAAGAGUUGCAAUGAGAAAAUAUAUGGGAACAAAAUACCUAUGCAAUGCAGAAGUCUGCAUAACUGAACCACUCAGAGGAAAAAGUUUCCCUCCCAGGCUGGAGUACAAUGGCGCGACCUCGGCUCACUGCAACUUCCACCUCCCAGUUCAAGCAAUUCUCCCACCUCAGCUUCCUUAGUAGCUGGGAUUACAAGUGCCUGACACCAGGCCAAGCUAUUUUUGUAUUUUUAGUAGAGACGGGGUUUCACCAUUUUGACCAGGCUGGUCUCAAACUCCUGACCUCAGUCCAUCGGUCCACCUCGGCCUCCCAAAGUGCUGGGAUUGCAGGCAUGAGCCACCGCUCCUGGCCUCAAGUUUAAUUCUUAAGUGAGUCAAUCAGUUAUAGUUCUGUUCAAAGCUUUCAGUGCACCUAAAAUUUCAUCCAACAUCUAUUAUCUUUCAUCAUAUGCUAAAACAGCUUGAAGAUGUAUAUGAUUUUAUAAAAAAUAAUCUAUAAAACAAAACAACCAAAUUAAGGGUUUACAUUUUAAAGCACCAAUAUUCACCUAUAGUUGGUGAAUGUACAGUUAGAAUGAAAAAAAAUAGAAUUUUGGUGAAUUCUGAAAUGGUUCCACCCUAUCCAAACAAGUUGUAUUAAUGCAUGUAUACAUUUCUUAAUAGAUAAAGUACUCGAAUUGCUACAAAUACAGAAGCUUACAAGUUUCCAGUGAGAAUAGGCUCUGUCAAAAACUUUGCUGUAUAUUGAUUAAUUUUGUUACUAUAAAACAAAAAGAUAUCUUUCAAUUGAAAAAUAUCAAAUGCAAAGUUUUGAAUUAUAAAAGCAGCUUCAAGCAAAUAAUAAUUUUUACCCAGCAUCAAAAUUUACAUAUUUAAAGGGCAUAAGCAAGCAUUGGGCACAGAUAAAGCAUUCUUUUCCCGGAGGAUCCCAAAACCAACAGACGGAGCAACAAAAACUCAUUUUCCUCCUAUAUUAACAUGUAUUUCAAUUUUGGAUUAAGAAGUUUUGACAAUGUGUGCAGAAACACAAUUCACAAAAGGAAACUAUUAUGGUUUUGGAGACUUUUUCUUUUAUAUACUGUUGAUUGCAUUGAGAAAAAAAUUAUUUAUGGGCUUCUCCCUAUUUUCAAGCCAGCCAGCUAUCCUAAAUUCAUAUGUUUUAUUUUAAAUUAUAACAAAUCAAGACCAUGAUAUUAUCGUCUGCUCCAGACAACAGCCUUUCCCUAGUUUAUACCAUUAACAUUUUAUUAAUGGUAUUUAUAUUUGGUAUUAGUAGGAGGUCAUUAUAAUUUUACAGGAAUGUCUAAUUGAGAUAAUUAAUUCACUCUUUUAUGUUAAUACUUUUCUACCUAGCAUCACAUAAGAUAAUGGAGGUGUGAUUUUUUUCAGUAAUUUUUGCUAGUUUAAUAAAUGACUUAAUCCUCCUCAUCCAUAUUCAUUUUGAAAUUAUACUUAGUAUUUUAAUAUAAAAGAAUAAGAUAGCAUAAUACUGAAUCUUCUAUGCAUUACAUUUCAUGAUUCUUUAAUAUUGUUUUGAUCAGAGAAUAAAGAAAAAUAUCUUCGACUAGUUUUGAUAUCCUGAAAGUUUAUCAUGUUUUUUUCCUCACCUAGACUGAAUAACCUCUGAUUUGGGGAAGUCCUUAAUACUUUUACUUUAAUUAUAAAAUUAAUCGUAGAUUAUCUCUUCAUAUAUGUAUGUGUUUGUGUGUAUGCAUGUGUGUGUAGUAAAUCA
rnacentral:lncRNA from 1 species